AUGGAGGAGCCACGAUGGCUCGGUGGUUCUCUGCUCCAGCGAACGCAGGCGGCAGUCAUGCCAAGCAGGUUCAUGCGCUCCCGCCAGCUCUCGAGCGAGCAUGCUCGUGCACACUCUAGACGCCAGAUCCUGCAGAAGGAGGACGAGCUGCAUGAUGCGUUGUCUAAGGCUAACGAGCAGCAUCUUUCAGCACAAGCCACUCAAAAAAGACCAUUUAACCUUAUCCGCUUGCAGGUGUACUCACAAAGGGCUCGGGGUGUGUUAGAUUUGGCUUGCAAGGUGACACUUUACGUUUAUGGUGGUGCUUUCCUGCUUGAUAUCACUGGCGCCGGCAGGAUGUUAGGGUUAGGGCCAGAAAUCAAUGAAGACAACAUUCAAAGACUGAGAACCAAAGAUGGCUCAGUUGAAUUAUGA
rnacentral:rRNA from 1 species